rnacentral:lncRNA from 1 species
CUUCCCUGGGAGAGUGGGCUUGAUGGGGUUUAGGGAUUGCUGGAGUUUGUCUCAUCAGGGGUGUAAGCACGCUGAGAUCUACUGAGCAGGCGGCUCACCUUUCUCCAUGGGGUCUAUUCUCCCAGCCUGCUGCACUACACGGCUGAUGAUAGAGUGAGGUGCUUCGGCCAGGACCUGAAGAACACUCCCAGAACGUAGUGGCCAUCUGCUUCAUCCUCACUGAGCAUAAUAUGGUCUGCACCACUCGAGCUUAGUGAUAACAGGUAUUCUGUUCCUAAUUUGUCUGGUUCUCUC